rnacentral:rRNA from 2 species
GUGAUUGCGCUGCUUUGGGUGCUGAUUGACGGCUGGAUCACCUCCAAAUUUGAUGAGUGGCGAACUGGUGAGUAACACGUGGGAAACCUGCCCAGAAGCGGGGGAUAACACCUGGAAACAGAUGCUAAUACCGCAUAACAACUUGGACCGCAUGGUCCGAGUUUGAAAGAUGGCUUCGGCUAUCACUUUUGGAUGGUCCCGCGGCGUAUUAGCUAGAUGGUGAGGUAACGGCUCACCAUGGCAAUGAUACGUAGCCGACCUGAGAGGGUAAUCGGCCACAUUGGGACUGAGACACGGCCCAAACUCCUACGGGAGGCAGCAGUAGGGAAUCUUCCACAAUGGACGAAAGUCUGAUGGAGCAACGCCGCGUGAGUGAAGAAGGGUUUCGGCUCGUAAAACUCUGUUGUUAAAGAAGAACAUAUCUGAGAGUAACUGUUCAGGUAUUGACGGUAUUUAACCAGAAAGCCACGGCUAACUACGUGCCAGCAGCCGCGGUAAUACGUAGGUGGCAAGCGUUGUCCGGAUUUAUUGGGCGUAAAGCGAGCGCAGGCGGUUUUUUAAGUCUGAUGUGAAAGCCUUCGGCUCAACCGAAGAAGUGCAUCGGAAACUGGGAAACUUGAGUGCAGAAGAGGACAGUGGAACUCCAUGUGUAGCGGUGAAAUGCGUAGAUAUAUGGAAGAACACCAGUGGCGAAGGCGGCUGUCUGGUCUGUAACUGACGCUGAGGCUCGAAAGUAUGGGUAGCAAACAGGAUUAGAUACCCUGGUAGUCCAUACCGUAAACGAUGAAUGCUAAGUGUUGGAGGGUUUCCGCCCUUCAGUGCUGCAGCUAACGCAUUAAGCAUUCCGCCUGGGGAGUACGGCCGCAAGGCUGAACUCAAGGAAUUGACGGGGCCCGCACAAGCGGUGGAGCAUGGUGGUUUAAUUCGAAGCUACGCGAGACUUACCAGUCUUGACAUACUAUGCAAAUCUAGAGAUAGACGUUCCCUUCGGGGACAUGGAUACAGUGUGCAUG